AAUGUAGGCGGUUUUGCAAGUCAGGGGUGAAAUCCCUCAGCUUAACUGAGGAAGUGCCUUUGAAACUGCAUAACUAGAGGACAGGAGAGGAAAGUGGAAUUCCCGGUGUAGCGGUGGAAUGCGUAGAUAUCGGGAGGAACACCAGAGGCGAAGGCGGCUUUCUGGACUGAUCCUGACGCUGAGAUUCGAAAGCGUAGGGGGGCAAACA
rnacentral:rRNA from 1 species